rnacentral:rRNA from 1 species
CUACGGGCUGCUGCAGUGGGGAAUAUUGGACAAUGGGCGGAAGCCUGAUCCAGCCAUGCCGCGUGUGUGAAGAAGGCCUUUUGGUUGUAAAGCACUUUAAGCGAGGAGGAGGCUCCUUUAGUUAAUACCUAAAGUGAGUGGACGUUACUCGCAGAAUAAGCACCGGCUAACUCUGUGCCAGCAGCCGCGGUAAUACAGAGGGUGCGAGCGUUAAUCGGAUUUACUGGGCGUAAAGCGUGCGUAGGCGGCUUUUUAAGUCGGAUGUGAAAUCCCUGAGCUUAACUUAGGAAUUGCAUUCGAUACUGGAAAGCUAGAGUAUGGGAGAGGAUGGUAGAAUUCCAGGUGUAGCGGUGAAAUGCGUAGAGAUCUGGAGGAAUACCGAUGGCGAAGGCAGCCAUCUGGCCUAAUACUGACGCUGAGGUACGAAAGCAUGGGGAGCAAACAGGAUUAGAUACCCGCGUAGUC